GAGUUUGAUCCUGGCUCAGAUUGAACGCUGGCGGCAUGCCUAACACAUGCAAGUCGAACGGGAGUUGCAAUACUCUAGUGGCGGACGGGUGAGGAAUACAUAGGAAUUUGCCCUUAAGUGGGGGAUAGUCCGGGGAAACUCGGUUUAAUACCGCAUGAUCUCGUGAGAGCAAAGCAGGGGACCGCAAGGCCUUGCGCUUUUGGAGAAGCCUAUGUCGGAUUAGCUAGUUGGUGAGGUAAUGGCUCACCAAGGCGACGAUCCGUAACUGGUCUGAGAGGAUGAUCAGUCACACCGGAACUGAGACACGGUCCGGACUCCUACGGGAGGCAGCAGUGGGGAAUAUUGGACAAUGGGCGAAAGCCUGAUCCAGCAAUGCCGCGUGUGUGAAGAAGGCCUUCGGGUUGUAAAGCACUUUAGGUUGGGAAGAAAAAAUUCGGGCGAAUAUCCCGAGUCUUGACGGUACCGACAGAAUAAGCACCGGCUAACUCUGUGCCAGCAGCCGCGGUAAUACAGAGGGUGCUAGCGUUAAUCGGAUUUACUGGGCGUAAAGCGUGCGUAGGCGGUUUGUUAAGUCGGAUGUGAAAGCCCCGGGCUCAACCUGGGAAUUGCAUUCGAUACUGGCAGACUAGAGAGCGGUAGAGGGAG
rnacentral:rRNA from 1 species